rnacentral:tRNA from 1 species
GGGAAAAUUGCGCUGCUGCCCUAGCAAUGGCAAGUGUUUCACGAACCGUCGCCGGGAAAAAGAAGUUAUCUAACUCACUGAUAUCAAAGCUUAGUCCAACUAUCUUUUAAUCUUUUGGUCGAAGGUUCGAAUCCUUCACGGCCCACCA